rnacentral:rRNA from 1 species
AGAGUUUGAUCAUGGCUCAGAACGAACGCUGGCGGCGCGCCUAACACAUGCAAGUCGAACGGGGUACUUAGCGUGGAUCACUUCGGUGUGAAGCACUUUGUUACCUAGUGGCGGACGGGUGAGUAACACAUAGGUAACCUGCCCUUAGGAUUGGGAUACUCCCGGGAAACCGGGCACAAUACCGAAUAUCAUUGCAAGAUUAUGUUUUGUAAUGAAAGCUGCGAGCAAUCGUGGCGCCUAAGGAUGGGCCUGUGGCCUAUCAGCUUGUUGGUGAGGUAAUGGCUCACCAAGGCUAAGACGGGUAGCCGGACUGAGAGGUCGAUCGGCCACACUGGAACUUAGACACGGUCCAGACUCCUACGGGAGGCAGCAGUGGGGAAUUUUGCGCAAUGGGCGAAAGCCUGACGCAGCGACGCCGCGUGGGGGAAGAAGGCCUUCGGGUUGUAAACUCCUUUAGUACGGGAAGAAGCCUUCGGGUGACGGUACCGUAAGAAUAAGCCACGGCUAACUCUGUGCCAGCAGCCGCGGUAAUACAGAGGUGGCAAGCGUUGUUCGGAUUUACUGGGCUUAAAGGGCGUGUAGGCGUCCCAACAAGUCAGAUGUGGAAGCCCUGGGCUUAACCCAGGAAGUGCAUUUGAAACUGUCGGGAUUGAGUCGUGCAAGGGAGGGCGGAAUUCCUGGUGUAGCGGUGAAAUGCGUAGAUAUCAGGAGGAAGGCCGGUGGUGAAGACGGCCCUCUAGGCAAUGACUGACGCUGAGGCGCGAAAGCGUGGGUAGCAAACAGGAUUAGAUACCCUGGUAGUCCACGCCCUAAACGGUGCGUACUAGGUGUGGGUGGCGAUAGUCAUCCGUGCCGAAGGGAAACCAUUAAGUACGCCGCCUGGGGAGUACGGCCGCAAGGUUGAAACUCAAAUGAAUUGACGGGGGCCCGCACAAGCGGUGGAGCAUGUGGUUUAAUUCGACGCUACGCGCAGAACCUUACCUAGGCUUGACAUGUUAGUGGUAGGAACCCGAAAGGGUGACGACCUAUUCUUCGGAAUAGGAGCUUUCACAGGUGCUGCAUGGCUGUCGUCAGCUCGUGCCGUGAGGUGUUGGGUUAAGUCCCGCAACGAGCGCAACCCUCAUCAUCUGUUGCCCUUAACGGGGCUCUCUGAUGAAACUGCCGGCGAAGAGCCGGAGGAAGGUGGGGAUGACGUCAAGUCCGCAUGGCCCUUAUGCCUAGGGCUACACACGUGCUACAAUGGCAGAUACAAAGGGUGGCCAAGCCGCGAGGUGGAGCCAAUCUCAUAAAGUCUGUCCAAGUUGGGAUCGGAGUCUGCAAUUCGACUCCGUGAACCUGGAAUCGCUAGUAAUCGUGGAUCAGCACGCCACGGUGAAUACGUUCCCGGGCCUUGUACACACCGCCCGUCACACCACGAAAGUCUGCUGUACCCGAAGUAGGUGAGCCAACCAGCAAUGGAGGCAGCUUCCUAAGGUAUGGCCGGUAAUUGGGGUGAAGUCGGAACAAGGUA